GAGGAGGCCGGUGGGUCGGACCCCUCGGGUCGCUGAGCCUGCGGAGCGAAGCUCCCGGCUGUGAGGCCGGUCGGCGCAGUGCAGGCCGGGCUGCCUUGGCUUCUGCGAGCGAGCGCAGAGCGCGUCGGGAAUUGUAGUGCGGCCCGGGCCGGCGGCAUUGUCCGUGACGCGGCCCAGGUACCGGCUUGGGAUGCAGCCGGGAUGCCCAGCCUCGCCGCUCCGCCCUUUCCCGCCCAACACUCAGCCGCCCACGGCUUUCCCGGAGCAGUUAGGCUCGCGUCGCUUCACCCCACCUAGUCGAAGCCUUCGAAGGCAGCCAGGAAGGGGUAGCUCGGAGCAGCCUUAUAUUCAGCAGACCCAUCGGAUCCGGCCAGGCUUUUGAGAAGGAGUUCCAGGCUCAGUGCCAGCCUCCUCGUGUACUGGAAAGGACAGACCACCCUAGGUGGUGUCAGGAGCCCAAAUCUCGGUCUUGACCCCCACCCCCACCCCAGUCCCCAGCCCAGAAACGACUCAAGUGGCCACUAUCUACAGUGCAGGGUUAAUUCAUUUGGUCGACUAGGCAGAUACCUCAGCACUGGCAGGGCAAGGGCCUCAAAGAGAGCAAUACAAGAAACAUUAAAAAAAAUUAAUAGAAAAUUAUUCUCGUUUCAAAUAUUUGGUGUUUAAUUUGACAACUUAACGUUUUUAUUAUAGUGACAGAUGGAGUUGCACUAAAAGUCUCAUUUCUGCCCUGCUCCCUCACCCUAACCACUACAAACUGUUUAGGCCCUGCAGCAAAGGCAUGCCCUGUUUUAAAGCAUUGCCAGUCUAGUUGAGAACACAGACUCAAGCCCACAGAUCGACAGUUCUGUGUUUUGCUAUUCUGUUUACGCAGAAAGGAAUCCUUAACAUGUUUGUCCUCCAAGAGCAAAGAAAAGUCUCUAGUAAAAAAUGCAAAUCAUAUCUAACAGUGAAGCUUUCCAGCAAAAACCUUCUGCUCUAGAAUGCAUAAUGUACUAAAGCAUAGUAAGAUCUGCUACUACAGACUUAUAGCAAAAUUACCUGUAGGCAGCAAAAAAGGGAGGAAACAGUGAUUGGUGCCCCUUGGACCUGGAACUCUGAGAACCUGGCAGAGCAAAACAGUGGAAGGAAGAGACAUGGCUGUAGAAUAAGAAGGUGACUUUUUUCUUUCUUUUUUUGGGCCGCACCUGUGGCAUAUGGGAGUUCCUAGGCUAGAGGUCAAAUGGGAGCUACACUUGCCGGCCUAUACCACAGCCGCAGCAACAACAACGCAAGAUUUGAGGCACAUCUGUGACCUUUGCUGCAGCUCACAGCAAUGCCGGAUCCUUAACCCACUGAGCGAGGCCAGGGAUUAAACUCUCAUACUCAUGGAUACUAGUCGGGUUCGUUACUGCUGAGCUACAACGGGAUCUACAAGAGGUCAGUUUUUUUUUUUUUUUUUUCCACAAAAGCCAUUUAGAGCAGUCUUCAUAAUUCCUGUCAAGGUCUGGAGGUGCUUAUCUGCUGUUGAGUUCCACUUUUCCCAGUUUCUAACCUCUGUAGGCCUGAAAAACUACAAAUUAGAUGAUCAUAUGGCCUGGAGCCAGAAAUGCUAGAGGCAGCAAGCCAGAGGUCAUUCCUUUGUUGGUUUCUGAAUAAGUGGAUCAUAUCCUGACUUAAAAUAAUCAGAAUAAAUUUCAUAUAGUGAAAGUCUUUCCAGCUGAAAGUCUUGAAAUCUGGAAAAGGGCCUUAGUCUAUUGCUCCCAGGGUGGUGCUAUGUUGUCAUUGAACAGCUCACAGAUAAGGGAGUUAUUGCUCCCUGGUUAUCAAGCUGCCAGAAGGUAAAUGAUGGAACUAAGUUGGACUUGAAACACUCCCAAAUUAAAACAAAAACAAACCUUGCUUUGAGCUGUCAAAAGGCAUUUUACCAAGAAGUAGGACCUGCUGUUGUUUACUGACACUGAAAGGCAGGACUUUUUAAAAAGUCACUUUGGGGUCACUUCACAUCAGAAAGCAAUAGUAUGCACUGAUGCAAAAAUAGCAGAGUGAGGAGUUCCUGUCGUGGCUCAGUGGUUAAUGAAUCCGACCAGGAACCAUGAGGUUGCAUGUUCCAUCCCUUGCCUCGCUCAGUGGGUUAAGGAUCCGGCGUUGCCGUGAGCUGUGGUGUAGGUUGCAGACAUGGCUCGGAUUCCGAGUUGCUGUGGCUGUGGUGUAGGCCGGCAGCUAUGGCUCCGAUUGGAGCCCUAGCCUGGGAACCUCCAUAUGCCACCAGUGUGGCCCUACAAAGAUGAAAAAGAUUUAAAAAAAAAUAGAGUGAAAUUAGGAACAAGAAGAAGAAAGAAGAGGACAAUUUUUACCAUAAAGAUGGAAGUGGCUAUGUCUUAUUUAUUUUCUCAUUUCCUGCAUAUAGUGCAAAAACCUGUUACAUAGUAGGCAUAAGGUAAUUUUUUGUAGCCUGAAUAAUUAAAUGAAGAAGAAAACCAGCAAGUGGUGGGAACGUAAUAUAGUUGGGAUAGGGGAACUGUGGGAAAGCUAAGUGGCUCAAGCCCUGUGCAUGAACCUAAAAUGUCACCCCAAUUUGCCAUGAUAUAGCUGUACCACUAUAAAAACAAGGCAUAGCUUUUCAUCAUCUCUUACCUUGAAUGGUUAAGAAUAUAUAUGGUAAUGUACUCUAACCAUAGAUCUUAAUGUUUCCACCCCAAAAAAAGAAAUGAUAGGAGUUCCCUGAUGGCCCAGUGGGUUAAGAAUUCUGAGUUUUCACUGCUGUGGUUGGGGUUAUGGCUGUGGCUCAGGUUCGAUCCCUGGCCCAGGAACUUUUGUAUGCCAUGGAUGCAGGCAAAAAAAAAAGGGGGACAAUUAUGUGACAUGAUAGAGAUAUUAGCUAACUCUCCUGAUGGUAAUCAGAGUGCAGUAUGUAAAUGUGUCAAAUCAACACAUUGUAUACCUUAAACUUAUACAAUGUUGUAUGUCGAUUAUAUCUCAAUUUUUUUUUUUGUUUUUUUUUGCUGUUUAGGGCCACAUCCAAGGCAUAUGGAGGUUACCAGGAUAGGGGUUGAAUUGGAGCUACAGCUGCCAGCCUACGCCACAGCCACAGCAACAUGGGAUCCCCAACCUAUUGAGUGAGGCCAGGGAUCGAACGUGCAUCCUCAUGGAUACUAGUCAGAUUCAUUUCCACUGCACCACAGAAGGAACUCCUCUUACUGUUUCUUAAGAAAAGAAUAAGAAUAAGAAUAAAUGAUAAUGAUUAAGAGAGAAAGGAAUCAGACUGCAUAGUUUCAAAUUCCAGCCCUGCCCUGGAAACCUGCGAUGUUAAGUGAGGUGAGUAUAUUUCAGUAACUUGGGUUUCUCAUCUGUAAAAUGGGGAUUGUAGCAGUACCUAUCUCAGAGUUGUUAAGAGAUUUAAAUAAGUUUUUGCGUAGAAAGCUAUGAUAGGGUUAGCAUGUCAAAAAAUGCUUCAUAACUGAUCCUCAUCGGUAUUAAGAUGUUGAAUACACAUGAAGUUAGCCUGCACACCAAGCACACGCUAUUUUGGAUAUGCGCAUUGGAUGGGCAGUGCAUUGAUGCGCCAGGGGCAUUUGCCAGCCUCUGGCAAUGAAAUAAGUUUUCACAGGAUAUAUUGAUGGGUGUUAUAGAUUUCGUUUGUCCCACUUUUCAGACUGACAUGAGUCUGGUCUUGGUAAGAGAUACAGAACCUGAUUCUGUGCUCUGGACUCCACAAAAGUGCCUGUCUCCUGUGUAUCCACUACAGAAGAAGCCCAGUUGGGUACUUCAAAGAGAGUAUGGGAGGAGUUCUGGUGGCCUCGUGGUUAAAGGAUCUGGUGUUGUCACUGCUGUGGCUCAAGUCACUGGCCAGGAACUUCUGCAUGCUGUGGGCAUGGC
rnacentral:lncRNA from 1 species